rnacentral:rRNA from 1 species
GACGAACGCUGGCGGCGUGCCUAACACAUGCAAGUUGAGCGACGAACCAGGGCUUGCCCUGGGGCAAAGCAGCGAACGGGUGAGUAACACGUGGGUAACGUGCCCCGAUAACCGGGACAACCCGAGGAAGCUCGGGCUAAUACCGGAUGUGCCCACCCAGACAUCAGUCUGGUGUGUAAAGGAAGCUUCGGCCUCCGUAUCGGGAGCGGCCCGCGGCCCAUUAGCUUGUUGGUGAGGUAACGGCUCACCAAGGCAACGAUGGGUAGCUGGUCUGAGAGGACGAUCAGCCACACUGGGACUGAGACACGGCCCAGACUCCUACGGGAGGCAGCAGUGGGGAAUCUUGCGCAAUGCGCGAAAGCGUGACGCAGCAACGCCGCGUGGGGGAA